rnacentral:rRNA from 1 species
CACGUAGGGGGCGAGCGUUGUCCGGAUUUAUUGGGCGUAAAGAGCUCGUAGGCGGCUCAGUAAGUCAGGUGUGAAAACUCCAGGCUCAACCUGGAGACGCCACCUGAUACUGCUGUGGCUAGAGUCCGGUAGGGGAGCAUGGAAUUCCUGGUGUAGCGGUGAAAUUCGUAGAUAUUGGGAAGAACACCGGUGGCGAAGGCGGCUCUCUGGACCGGAUCUGACGCUGAGGCGCGAAAGCGUGGGGAGCAAACAGG